rnacentral:rRNA from 1 species
UUCCGUAGGUGAACCUGCGGAGGGAUCAUUACAAGUGACCCCGGUUUACCACCGGGAUGUUCAUAACCCUUUGUUGUCCGACUCUGUUGCCUCCGGGGCGACCCUGCCUUCGGGCGGGGGCUCCGGGUGGACACUUCAAACUCUUGCGUAACUUUGCAGUCUGAGUAAACUUAAUUAAUAAAUUAAAACUUUUAACAACGGAUCUCUUGGUUCUGGCAUCGAUGAAGAACGCAGCGAAAUGCGAUAAGUAAUGUGAAUUGCAGAAUUCAGUGAAUCAUCGAAUCUUUGAACGCACAUUGCGCCCCCUGGUAUUCCGGGGGGCAUGCCUGUUCGAGCGUCAUUUCACCACUCAAGCCUCGCUUGGUAUUGGGCAACGCGGUCCGCCGCGUGCCUCAAAUCGACCGGCUGGGUCUUCUGUCCCCUAAGCGUUGUGGAAACUAUUCGCUAAAGGGUGCUCGGGAGGCUACGCCGUAAAACAACCCCAUUUCUAAGGUUGACCUCGGAUCAGGUAGGGAUACCCGCUGAACUUAAGCAUAUCAAUAAGCGGAGGAA